rnacentral:lncRNA from 1 species
UUAAUGUUAAAAGCCUCCGAGUACAUUGAGAUUUAUAAGUACUAGUACUAAUACUACUACUACUACUAAUACUACUAGUACUACUAUUAGUUCUACUACUACUACUUCUACUACUAUUACUACUGUUACUAUUACUGCUACAGCUGCUACUGCUGUUAAUGUUACUACUACUACUAUUACUACUAUUUUUACUACUGCUACUAUUACUGCUAGUACUACUAUUGCUAAU